UAACGUGAAGGAACCUUACCAGCCCUUGACAUCUGGGUCGCGGACAGUGGAGACAUUGUCCUUCAGUUCGGCUGGACCCAAGACAGGUGCUGCAUGGCUGUCGUCAGCUCGUGUCGUGAGAUGUUGGGUUAAGUCCCGCAACGAGCGCAACCCUCGCCCUUAGUUGCCAGCAUUUGGUUGGGCACUYUAAGGGGACUGCCGGUGAUAAGCCGARAGGAAGGUGGGGAUGACGUCAAGUCCUCAUGGCCCUUACGGGCUGGGCUACACACGUGCUACAAUGGUGGUGACAGUGGGCAGCGAAGGAGCGAUCCCGAGCUAAUCUCCAAAAGCCAUCUCAGUUCGGAUUGCACUCUGCAACUCGAGUGCAUGAAGUUGGAAUCGCUAGUAAUCGCGGAUCAGCACGCCGCGGUGAAUACGUUCCCGGGC
rnacentral:rRNA from 1 species